AGGAGGGCUGGCGUGGGCCCGUCUGGGACGAACUCUCCUCACAAACCCGGAGGCCACCGCGCUCGCCUCCACCCACGUCUGAACCCCUGGGAGGCUGGCACGCUUCCCACGCUGCCCACCAACCAAAGCUAAGGUCAACCCACAGAAUCUGCCCAACUCCCUGGCGUGCUCACCGGCUGUUCUGCUCAGACUCUGGAAGUGUGCCUGCGGAAAUGAACCAAGAUGCGGUCGUGUGUUUUUAGUGCCUGAGUUUUUAGCUUCAGAAGUGAAGCUGUUUCUGGGGUCACAGACAGGAAGG